rnacentral:rRNA from 1 species
GAUGAACGCUGGCGGCGUGCCUAAUACAUGCCAGUCGAGCGAACGGACGAGAAGCUUGCUUCUCUGAUGUUAGCGGCGGACGGGUGAGUAACACGUGGAUAACCUACCUAUAAGACUGGGAUAACUUCGGGAAACCGGAGCUAAUACCGGAUAAUAUUUUGAACCGCAUGGUUCAAAAGUGAAAGACGGUCCUGCUGUCACUUAUAGAUGGAUCCGCGCUGCAUUAGCUAGUUGGUAAGGUAACGGCUUACCAAGGCAACGAUGCAUAGCCGACCUGAGAGGGUGAUCGGCCACACUGGAACUGAGACACGGUCCAGACUCCUACGGGAGGCAGCAGUAGGGAAUCUUCCGCAAUGGGCGAAAGCCUGACGGAGCAACGCCGCGUGAGUGAUGAAGGUCUUCGGAUCGUAAAACUCUGUUAUUAGGGAAGAACAUACGUGUAAGUAACUGUGCACAUCUUGACGGUACCUAAUCAGAAAGCCACGGCUAACUACGUG